rnacentral:rRNA from 1 species
CCUACGGGUGGCAGCAGUGAGGAAUAUUGGUCAAUGGGCGCGAGCCUGAACCAGCCAAGUCGCGUGAGGGAAGACGGUCCUAUGGAUUGUAAACCUCUUUUGUCGGGGAGCAAAAGACGCCACGCGUGGCGUUCCGAGAGUACCCGAAGAAACAGCAUCCGCGAACUCCGUGCCAGGAGCCGCGGUAAUCCGGAGGAUGCGAGCGUUAUCCGGUUUUAUUGGGUUUAAGGGGUGCGCAGGCGGAAGAUCAAGUUAGAGGUAAAAUUGAGGGUCUCAACCGCUUUGAGCCGUUGAAACUGGUUGUCUUGAGUGAGUGAGAAGUAUGCGGAAUGCGUGGUGUAGCGGUGAAAUGCAGAGAUAUCACGCAGAACUCCGAUUGCGAAGGCAGCAUACCGGCGCUCAACUGACGCUCAUGCACGAAAGUGUGGGUAUCGAACAGGAUUAGAUACCCUUGUAGUC